CAGACUAAGACACACACAACAGCACAGAUAAACCCGGAAACGUUAGAGACACGGAAGGCGACACACAGCCCGAGUCCCUUCAUCGCCAACCGUGUGCUGGAGCUGGGAUGCAGCAAUGAACAGAGUCACGGAGCUUGCUUCCUGCCGGGAUGAGACGGACUAUAACAGCAGGACAAAGUGGGCGUUCCUGCCCUGCGGGUGGCUCUCUUCCAUCCAGACUCGAGGAUCCAGCCUCCUUCCGCCCGUGGCUCUGCCAUCCAUCCCGUCAGCAUCUGCAUCCUGAUCGAGGAGGAGAGACUGGAGAAGACACAUCUGCGUCUUAACAGCCGUGGCCCAGCAAUGGCACAUCCAACUUCCACUCACGUUCCACCAGGCGGACCUCAUCGCCCACCCACACCAGCAAGGAGGCGGUGGGCUGGAAGACAUGGUGUCUUUCCAAUGACAAUUCUACACCACGGAAGGGGAGCAUGAGUUCUAGAGACAACCAGCCAUCCCCACCACACCCAGCUAGCGUCACCUCAUCCUUCAGGUGUCAAGUUCGAUGUGGCUUCCUCAGGAAUCCUACCCUGCAUCUCCAGGUCCGGGAUUCGGUGUCCCUCCUAUGCGCUUCCAGCACCCCUGCCUUCCCUGUACCACAUUGCACUGCCUGCU